GUUUUAAGCAAGUGGAAUCUUGGGAAAUGAAAAUCACAAAAGGUUCAUUAUGCUUCAUGUCUUCCUUGUCUCCCUGACUUCCGACGUAUGGAACGCUGUAUGGUCGAAACUUCCACGGUACGUCUUCAAGUAAGUUAAUAUGUGAAUGCUCGGGAUGCUUUACCUCCUUCAUCCCUCCGGAUGCGCACUGAAGGCCAUGCUUCUUCCUCACGCUGCGGAAAAGAGCCCCGAAGAGGUUUUGAGUAAGUGGCCUACAGUCACGUGGGACAGCCAUCGCUUGACCAGGUCUCAGUCAGUUCACGACCGACCAUUCCAUUCAGUUCAGCCCAGUUACCUGCUGAAGUUUACUGCCCAGUGCAUUUCUUUGCAGUCAAGUAAAAAUCAGAUCUCAUUGCCAACUAACUUCAACAUCUUCAGAAGCCUCCCACUGAGUCAUGAAGUCCGUGUCCCCUCUUUACUAGGCAGACUUUUGUGA
rnacentral:lncRNA from 1 species